rnacentral:rRNA from 1 species
AUUGAACGCUGGCGGCAGGCCUAACACAUGCAAGUCGAACGGUAACAUGAAGCAGCUUGCUGCUUCGCUGACGAGUGGCGGACGGGUGAGUAAUGUCUGGGAAGCUGCCUGAUGGAGGGGGAUAACUACUGGAAACGGUAGCUAAUACCGCAUAAUGUCGCAAGACCAAAGAGGGGGACCUUCGGGCCUCUUGCCAUCGGAUGUGCCCAGAUGGGAUUAGCUUGUUGGUGGGGUAACGGCUCACCAAGGCGACGAUCCCUAGCUGGUCUGAGAGGAUGACCAGCCACACUGGAACUGAGAAACGGUCCAGACUCCUACGGGAGGCAGCAGGGGGGAAUAUUGCACAAUGGGCGCAAGCCUGAUGCAGCCAUGCCGCGUGUAUGAAGAAGGCCUUCGGGUUGUAAAGUACUUUCAGCGGGGAGGAAGGGAGUAAAGUUAAUACCUUUGCUCAUUGACGUUACCCGCAGAAGAAGCACCGGCUAACUCCGUG